rnacentral:rRNA from 1 species
CCUGGGCAAAUUAAUGAGGAGCAGGCGCGCAAUUACCCAAUCCCGAGCACGGGGAGGUAGUGACAAGAAAUAACAAAGCAGGCGCUUACCGCGUUCUGCUAUUGGAAUGAGUAGAAUUUAAAUCACUUUUCGACUAUCCAUUGGAGGGCAAGUCUGGUGCCAGCAGCCGCGGUAAUUCCAGCUCCAAUAGCGUAUAUUAAAGUUGUUGCGGUAAAAAAGCUCGUAGUUGGAUUUCUGUUGGGGGGGACCGGUCUGUGCCACGCACAUGCAUCUGGCUCCGCCUCGGCAUCCUCUCGAUUUGGAUUCCUGUGCUUGAUUGCAUGGGGUUUGUAUCGGGACUUUUACUUUGAGGAAAUUAGAGUGUUCACGGCAGGCUAUCGCCAGAAUACAUUAGCAUGGAAUAAUACUAUAGGAUCUCGAUUCUAUUUUGUUGGUUUCUAGAAGCGAGAUAAUGAUUAAUAGGGACAAUUGGGGGCAUUCGUAUCAACACGUCAGAGGUGGAAUUCUUGGAUUGUGUUGCGACGAACUACUGCGAAAGCAUUUGCCAAGGAUGUUUUCAUUGAUCAAGAACGAAAGUAAGGGGAUCGAAGACGAUUAGAUACCGUCGUAGUCUUUACCAUAAACUAUGCCAACUAGAGAUGGGGCAUCGUUCACUUACGACUUGCUCCGCACCUUAUGAGAUAUCAAAGUUUUUGGGUUCCGGGGGGAGUAUGGUCGCAAGGCUGAAACUUAAAGGAAUUGACGGAAGGGCACCACCAGGAGUGGAGCCUGCGGCUUAAUUUGACUCAACACGGGGAAACUCACCAGGUCCAGACAUAAUAAGGAUUGACAGAUUGAUAGCUCUUUCUUGAUUUUAUGGGUGGUGGUGCAUGGCCGUUCUUAGUUCGUGGAGUGAUUUGUCUGCUUAAUUGCGUUAACGAACGAGACCUUAACCUGCUAAAUAGAAGCGCAUAUCUCCGGAUAAGCGCCUUUCUUCUUAGAGGGACUUUAUGCGUUUCAGCAUGAGGAAGUUUGAGGCUAAAACAGGUCUGUGAUGCCCUUAGAUGUUCUGGGCUGCACGCGCGCUACACUGAUGCGUUCAACGAGUGUACAACCUUGCUCGAUAGAGUUGGGUAACCUUUUGAACACGCAUCGUGAUGGGGAUAGAUUAUUGCAAUUAUUAAUCUUCAACGAGGAAUUCCUAGUAAUGAUGGAUCAUCAGUUCAUCGUGAUUACGUCCCUGCCCUUUGUACACACCGCCCGUCGCUCCUACCGAUUGAGCAAUCCGGUGAAUAUUUCGGACCGAACUCGGCGGGGCAACUCGUCCGGCGUUGGAAAGUCAAGUAACCCUAUUGCUAGGG